rnacentral:lncRNA from 1 species
CUUUCUCUGAAGAACUUUUUCACGAUGCCUUUUCGACAGCAUCUGGAUGGAUAUAGGAACAAAGUGCACUUCUCAGGAAGUAGCAGGAGUGACUGCCUGGCACUUGUGGAGGCGUUCAGGGCCUGGCAGGCUUGCAGACAGCGAGGAGAGCUGCGGCAUCCCAAGGAUGAACUUGACUGGGGACGGCUGAAUUACAUUCAAAUAAAGAGAAUC